CUGCCACAUUUUCGUUUCUAUUCAUUUUCUGUAUUUUUAUUAUUAUUACCGUUAAGUGCCACUAGGGGGCGCUGUAGCUUAAGAGUGAGCUUUGUAUGCAGAGAAGAGGUUAAUUUCCGCAGAAGAAGCGAUCUCUCAAGAGAAAGAAAAUGCAUGACUAAAGCAAGAAGCGAUCUCUCAAGAGAAAGAAAAAUGCAUGACUAAAGCGUGGUCACUAAGCUAAGUCUAAGAGAAAUAAGAUAAACAAAAAGAAGAAGAAAAAGACUGAAACUAAUUCCUCUCUCGGUACUCAGCCAACGAGGUAUGUUUUGUAUGUUGUAUUUGUCAAAAUCGAUUUAUCUGUCAGAUUUCUUUCUUUAAGCUAAUUAUUGUUUGUUCUGUGCUUUUAGUUUUCACGGUGUGUUUAUGAUCCUGACUAAGCUGGAUUCAAUGAAUCCAUCAGUAUGAGAAA